UCUUGCAAAUCAGUCCAGGGAGUUCCUUCAUCAUAGAUAAUGUUGUUUGCUCAUUUGUUUAGGUCGUAGCUCAAGGAGAGUUGUAUGUCCUCUCUCUCUCUGUGUUUUCAGGCUGGAAUCAUUGGCAGCAGCUAGAGUCUCAGGACAUGAAUGUCCACUGAAGCGAAUGUCUUGGAGGGGUUGGUAGAAAGUUGUUUUGUUGAUGAAGAGAAGAAUAAUGUCUGUAUGUGGGAUGACGGGACCAGGGCUUGGUCUGUCUGUGUUCCUGUUGGCUCUGCUUCAUCUUCAAUGCUCAGCCCAGAAAAACUACACUACGCUACCAAAUAACAUAACAGUGACUGUUGGCAAGCCUGCUGCCUUCCAGUGUGGUGUGUCCCCUCCUCCUAGACAACUCAACUUCACCCUCUAUGGUAGCCAUGGAAACAGAACCCUUAUCUGCCCAGGAGACCACACUGAGUACCUUGCUGCCCAGUCAAUAAAAGGGUACUGUGAUAACACAGGUAAGGAGCUCUUUGCAAUAUGGCUUAUCAGUGGGACGUCCCGCUCUGACAACAACACACGUGUGGUAUGUCAGAGCUCAGAGCGACCACUAGUGGAUGGAUACCUCGGGGUGUACGAGGACGGCAGUUACUUUGCCACCCUCAUUGGCUGCGUCAUUGGUGGUUUCUUUGGUAUCCUCAUCGUCAUUGGUCUGUCAUACACUGUGCUCAGGAGAUCUGAGAGGUUCCAGCUCUGUUUCAGGGGAAAAGACCGUGAGGAUGACAUCACCACAAUGAGAGCAGGACGUCUGAGUAGCUGUCUAAAGUGUUCCAGUGGAGGAUCAGUAGAGGUGGUGCGAUGUUGACUCAGCUGGCCUGCUAUGAUCUGUGUGUUUUAGGUGACAACAAAAAGGAGGGGCUAUUCCUCAAGGUAAAAGGAAAGAGAAAAGACUAGGUGUGUGAAGUCAGCAGGACGACCUGAGCUACACAGCAGACAUCCCCAGACCCCUUGCCAAGACAGACCUCGUUCUCAGUCAGGUUGUGUACAAGAUGAGCCAAUUCUCAGUUCUGGUUAUGCUGGCAGUUCUCUGUGCAUUCUUCGUGGAAAUUGAAGCAAAUCCAUUUGUUUACAACUAUGAGAGACUACGAAUUGGAGGCCUGAUCAUUGCAGGCUUGCUUGUAGCAGGUGGAUUGUUUGUCCUACUUAAUCCCAAAUGCACUAGAAAGAACAAAAAAUCUGAAGAUGACACAAGUGAACUCUAAGCAUCUCUGAUGGAAUCUGACUAACUGGUUGCUGUUGUUCUAAUGAUGAAGAUUCGGGGGUGGGAAUGGGGCAGGGCUCUGUCCAUGACAAUGUAAUGACACCUGAAUGGAUGUGAAAGCGGAUGGAGGGUGGACCACAAUGCAUCUAUUUACUGUUUUGUUUCUUUAUUGGCAAAAAGAAAUGGGUUUAUUUUAAGGUGUUUUACGGUGGUAGUGAGAUGUAUGAAUGAACAACUGAAAUACAUUUCAUUUAGCUAUAGGCUCUAGGCAUUAUGGUCAAACAGAGUUGUAUUGAGCUAAAACGAUUAGCCUUCAAUUGUUUGUGUAAAUUCUUAUUAAUGAAAAGCCAAAUAAAUACCAUGGAACACCAUUGUUAGAAAUAAACAACAUGUUGUUUACUGUUUGUGUUCAGAGAUGUGCACUGUGCAUGCUCUCAAGAUACAAUAUGUAACCAAAGCAGGUACUGUACACAACUAUUUUGAAUAUAUUGAUGUGAUAAUGUUCGAUUUGGUAUCUGCCAUAUCACCGUUUUUAUAUAGGCUAAUGAUAUAGGCUAAUGAUUUGUUAUAGCAACAACAGGUCAUUGAAAGCAACCAAUGACAAACAAAGAAUAAAAUCCUCCUCCUAUCCAACGCAUGCAACUUCAAUUUAAACUCAGCCUAUUUUCAAGCUGAGCAAACCUGUUGAGCGUCAGUGAAAAAGGGUGUUGGCGUCUGUCUGAUUUAAGAGUACGUUCGUCUAUUGUGUGUCGCUACAUGCCCGACAUUUCCUGGUUUUCCCCCUACACACAUCUCCAUUUGGGUUUAACGCAUGUCGGAGGUGAAAGAGAGUUUGAAGAUGGCGAAUAUCUCUGCUUUGCUUUUAUUGACAUCAGUUGCGUCCCUUGUGUUCGCAGAGGAGCAGAAAGAAAUGGAGGUGGAGGAUCCAUUUACCUUUGAUUAUCACAGGCUACGUGUUGGGGGUUGAUCCUGGCAGCAGUUCUGUGUCUGAUUGGCAUCACCAUCCUCUUCAGCGGACACUGCAGAUGCAAGUUCAACCAGGACAAAAGGAGGAGGUCAGGAAGCAACGCUGCCCAGCCACUCAACGACCAAGCUCGGGCCAGUGAGUGCUAGGAACCAAAUGCCCACCUGGCAGCAGGUCAAAUCGACUUCCUGGUUCAAGAGAUAAUCAAGAGAUAAAAAUUGAUGGGUGGAGUUGGCCUGUUUUUUGUCUGAUGGAGGUUGUUUUUUGGAGAUCAGAGGUGUGCUGCUUUUACCUGUGUUGCUGUUCUCCCUUCUGCCCAUUACUCCUGUUUCUGCUCUGCCCAAUAUUUACACUGUAACUCGCCACCAACAAGCCCACACAGACAGACAAAGCAGGACACGAUUUUUCCCCCAUGUUCUUUGUAUUUAAACAAAUAACCAAAAGAUGCUGUGUGUCGAUUCACUUAUUUCAUUGCAAUGUUUUUCACCUUUAGUGACUCCAACUGUAUGUGGAAAUGAUGUGGUAGAUUUGACUGUUGGUGUGUGUUUUGAAUUGCCAUACUGUCUCCUAAUAAUCUUUCAUGCAUAUACUUUACUGUAAAAUAGGUACCGGUAGCCAUAAACUAUUAUAAUGUCAAUAACUAUUCACACACCUUUAACUUGAUUAUUCCUAUAUUAACUUUUUAGUUGAAUGUAGAAAAGUGCACUGGUCUAUGCAGUAGAAUAUGUUGUAUGAUAAAUGCAAUGUUUUUGAAUAAUACAGAAUGUUAAAAUGAUUUCAAUAAGCGGAUGAUAUAGUCUUGUUUGAGAGUGUUUGCCACCAAAACAAAAUGCAUGUUAUUUUAGUUUGCUAGAUACCACUCAAACAAUUACAGUCCCUGAAGAGGGUUUUCUCCCCAAUUGGCUUUUAAUGAGUCACGUCUAAAUUGAGAUGUCUCUUGCCAAAUGAAUAGAUGGUGUCUAUGUUUGUAAUUCAAAUUAAAAGUUACCUUCUA